AUUGAACGCUGGCGGCAGGCUUAACACAUGCAAGUCGAGCGGAGCGAGGGUGCUUGCACCUUAGCUUAGCGGCGGACGGGUGAGUAAUGCUUAGGAAUCUGCCUAUUAGUGGGGGACAACAUUCCGAAAGGAAUGCUAAUACCGCAUACGCCCUACGGGGGAAAGCAGGGGAUCUUCGGACCUUGCGCUAAUAGAUGAGCCUAAGUCGGAUUAGCUAGUUGGUGGGGUAAAGGCCUACCAAGGCGACGAUCUGUAGCGGGUCUGAGAGGAUGAUCCGCCACACUGGGACUGAGACACGGCCCAGACUCCUACGGGAGGCAGCGGUGGGGAAUAUUGGACGAUGGGCGGAAGCCUGAUCCAGCCAUGCCGCGUGUGUGAAGAAGGCCUUUUGGUUGUAAAGCACUUUAAGCGAGGAGGAGGCUCUUAAGGUUAAUACCCUUGAUGAGUGGACGUUACUCGCAGAAUAAGCACCGGCUAACUCUGUGCCAGCCGCCGCAGUAACAC
rnacentral:rRNA from 1 species